GAUGAACGCUGGCGGCGUGCCUAAUACAUGCAAGUCGAGCGAACAGACGAGGAGCUUGCUCCUCUGACGUUAGCGGCGGACGGGUGAGUAACACGUGGAUAACCUACCUAUAAGACUGGGAUAACUUCGGGAAACCGGAGCUAAUACCGGAUAAUAUAUUGAACCGCAUGGUUCAAUAGUGAAAGACGGUUUUGCUGUCACUUAUAGAUGGAUCCGCGCCGCAUUAGCUAGUUGGUAAGGUAACGGCUUACCAAGGCAACGAUGCGUAGCCGACCUGAGAGGGUGAUCGGCCACACUGGAACUGAGACACGGUCCAGACUCCUACGGGAGGCAGCAGUAGGGAAUCUUCCGCAAUGGGCGAAAGCCUGACGGAGCAACGCCGCGUGUGUGAUGAAGGUCUUCGGAUCGUAAAGCUCUGUUAUUAGGGAAGAACAAAUGUGUAAGUAACUAUGCACGUCUUGACGGUACCUAAUCAGAAAGCCACGGCUAACUACGUG
rnacentral:rRNA from 1 species